rnacentral:rRNA from 1 species
UACGUAGGUGGCAAGCGUUGUCCGGAUUUAUUGGGUUUAAAGGGUGCGUAGGCGGUCCAUUAAGUCAGCAGUGAAAUACGGCAGCUUAACUGUCGAGGUGCUGUUGAUACUGGUGGACUUGAGUACUGAUGAGGUAGGCGGAAUGGACGGUGUAGCGGUGAAAUGCUUAGAGAUCGUCCAGAACACCGAUAGCGAAGGCAGCUUACUAAAGAGUAACUGACGCUGAGGCACGAAAGUGUGGGGAGCAAACAGG